rnacentral:rRNA from 1 species
GAGCUUGCUCUGGCGGAUCAGUGGCGAACGGGUGAGUAACACGUGAGUAACCUGCCCCCGACUCUGGGAUAACUGCUAGAAAUGGUAGCUAAUACCGGAUAUGACGAUUGGCCGCAUGGUCUGGUCGUGGAAAGAAUUUCGGUUGGGGAUGGACUCGCGGCCUAUCAGGUUGUUGGUGAGGUAAUGGCUCACCAAGCCUACGACGGGUAGCCGGCCUGAGAGGGUGACCGGCCACACUGGGACUGAGACACGGCCCAGACUCCUACGGGAGGCAGCAGUGGGGAAUAUUGCACAAUGGGCGAAAGCCUGAUGCAGCAACGCCGCGUGAGGGAUGACGGCCUUCGGGUUGUAAACCUCUUUUAGUAGGGAAGAAGCGAAAGUGACGGUACCUGCAGAAAAAGCACCGGCUAACUACGUGCCAGCAGCCGCGGUAAUACGUAGGGUGCAAGCGUUGUCCGGAAUUAUUGGGCGUAAAGAGCUCGUAGGCGGUUUGUCGCGUCUGCUGUGAAAUCCCGAGGCUCAACCUCGGGUCUGCAGUGGGUACGGGCAGACUAGAGUGCGGUAGGGGAGAUUGGAAUUCCUGGUGUAGCGGUGGAAUGCGCAGAUAUCAGGAGGAACACCGAUGGCGAAGGCAGAUCUCUGGGCCGUAACUGACGCUGAGGAGCGAAAGCAUGGGGAGCGAACAGGAUUAGAUACCCUGGUAGUCCAUGCCGUAAACGUUGGGAACUAGAUGUGGGGACCAUUCCACGGUCUCCGUGUCGCAGCUAACGCAUUAAGUUCCCCGCCUGGGGAGUACGGCCGCAAGGCUAAAACUCAAAGGAAUUGACGGGGGCCCGCACAAGCGGCGGAGCAUGCGGAUUAAUUCGAUGCAACGCGAAGAACCUUACCAAGGCUUGACAUAUACCGGAAACAUGCAGAAAUGUGUGCCCCGCAAGGUCGGUAUACAGGUGGUGCAUGGUUGUCGUCAGCUCGUGUCGUGAGAUGUUGGGUUAAGUCCCGCAACGAGCGCAACCCUCGUUCUAUGUUGCCAGCACGUAAUGGUGGGAACUCAUAGGAGACUGCCGGGGUCAACUCGGAGGAAGGUGGGGAUGACGUCAAAUCAUCAUGCCCCUUAUGUCUUGGGCUUCACGCAUGCUACAAUGGCCGGUACAAAGGGCUGCGAUACCGUAAGGUGGAGCGAAUCCCAAAAAGCCGGUCUCAGUUCGGAUUGAGGUCUGCAACUCGACCUCAUGAAGUCGGAGUCGCUAGUAAUCGCAGAUCAGCAACGCUGCGGUGAAUACGUUCCCGGGCCUUGUACACACCGCCCGUCAAGUCAUGAAAGUCGGUAACACCCGAAGCCAGUGGCCUAACCGCAAGGGAGG